CACAGAGGGGGGAGGGGGGAUAGAGGUGCAGAGAGAGAGAGGUACAGAAAGAGAGAGAGAGGCACAACGUUGUGCUGGAACACAAGAGAAAGUCGACAAUCAACAGUCAACUUCGAAUCAGCAAAGCAUGUGAGAAUAUCAGAACAUUUCCCACAUCAGAGGCAGAUCACCAUGACUGAAGUGGUAGCAGGGAAGACGUGGCAACCGCUGAAAUAACAAUAAAACCUCAUAUCAUAUCCUUACUGUACAACUCUUACAGAUUAGUCAGAACAAGAAUACCUCCUCAAACUAAAAAUCUGAAGUAAUCAGUCACCAAUUUCACAGGCGCUGCACAUGAGCUAAUCAAAUCACUCAAUCUUAUUUAUCCAUCAUCUUUGAUGUAUCUACACUUCAUCCACCCUCCCACCCUUUUGGCAGGAGGAGGGGGAGUCUGGAAACUGGACAUCCUGUCUUUAGUGGAGUCUGUCUUGACCGUGUAAGAUACACUGAGUUUCUAUUACCUUGUGGAUUUCUGAAGAAAUUGUUGCUGAAGGAAUUCAAUUCCGAGAAACAGCACAACACCACACACCCAUCACACCACAGGAGAUGGUGGCACCUUAAUCGGGGAGAAAGGGGUCGUGGUAAUGACUGGAGCAGGUUCAGGGGAAUGGUAUGAAAUACAUCAAACACAUGGUUUCCAGGUGUUUAAUGCCAUUCCAUUUGCUCCAUUCCGCACAUUAUUAUUAGCAGUCACGAAUGUUUGAUCUUGAACAGAACAUGACACGCAGAAAUCGUAAUGUUCAACCUGCGAGGACAGAUACAGAAACCGGGAAAAUUCCGAGCAACACAGCUCAAACAAAUGGAUUGGAGAGUUAUAUUUGUCUGCGCAGUAGCAUGGCAUGUUUCACUGGUGUCACAAUCUUAUGCCACAGGUGGUGUGAAUACAUCUCUCUCUACAGCUCAGAGCAACUUGUCUCUGUGUUUCACCUGCAACGGUGAGAGAUGUCAAGAUGUGAAAAAGAUUUUCAACUCAAUGAGAGAUGACAAAAUUUGGACGCAAAGUACUGCAACGUCUGCCCUUCUUGGCUGUUCCCUGACCUCGUCUCCCUUUGCUGGGAAGUGUGUGCCAUGUGUUGAGGACCGCAAGGUCUACAUUGUUUGCCUUGACAUGCCCAAGGAUCUCAAACUGGACCUGGAGGAUGGUGAUGGCAACUCAUUUUCCUACACUGAAGCUAGUGGAGUCAGAGGUCUUGCUGGGCAUGGUGGUAUUGUCUAGUGUCAACUUCAGAAGUCCACUCAGAGGAACACCAGACCCAUUUAAAGUUAUUAAAGACUGUCACGUCUACUGCUCCCCCUCUCCGGCGCACAGAGGGAGGGGGGCAGAACAUGAGACAGAGCUGCAUUUCAUGACAAAAUGUGAAAAAUAUAAAACAAUUAGAGAGUGUAAUUUCCCCAUUUUGAAACCCUUAUUCAAGGUUUCAAAGACCUCUCUGGUGAGAGUAGGCUACCCUUCCUGUUGGGGGAAGACGCAGAGAGCUGGGGGUUGGCAGCGCACUACAUUGCUGCCUGCCAUAAGAUGAGGGACAGUGUCUGACAGACCAAUCAACCUGCACAUAAGCUUUGGCAAUAUGUACAUUGUUACGUUAUGCCAAUAAAGUGAAUUGAAUUGACACACCCACACACACACACACACACACACACACACACACACACACACACACACACACACACACACACACACACACACACACACACACACACACACACACACAGAGAGAGAGAGGGGGAGGGAGAGAGAGCACAGGGGGGGGGGGGAGAGAGGCACAGUUAGGGAGAGAGGCACAGAGGGGGGAGAGAGAGAG
rnacentral:lncRNA from 1 species